AUGACUUGCAAUCCUAAAUGGGAAGAGAUAACGAAUGAGUUGCUGCCUAGUCAGACGGUGCAAGACCGACCUGAUAUUGUGGCUCGCGUGUUCUACGGCAAACUAGAGGCUAUGAAAGACAUGUUGUUCAAGAAGCAUAUUUUGGGAGUUGUUGUUGCUUAUGUAUACGUAGUCGAGUUCCAAAAAAGGGGCCUUCCCCAUGCACAUUUUUUGUUGAUCAUGGACUCAGCAUAUAAGCUUAUCAUCCCGGAGCAGUAUGACCGACUCAUUUCUGCAGAGCUCCCAGACAAGCAUAAGUAUCCUGAAUUGUAUGCAAUGGUGGUAAAACAUAUGAUGCACGGACCAUGCGGUGCUCUAAACCCAAAAAAUAUAUGCAUGCAAGAAAACGGAUGCUGUUGGGGAACGUAG
rnacentral:rRNA from 1 species